rnacentral:rRNA from 1 species
AUUGAACGCUGGCGGCAGGCCUAACACAUGCAAGUCGAGCGGAUGAAGGGAGCUUGCUCCUGGAUUCAGCGGCGGACGGGUGAGUAAUGCCUAGGAAUCUGCCUGGUAGUGGGGGAUAACGUCCGGAAACGGGCGCUAAUACCGCAUACGUCCUGAGGGAGAAAGUGGGGGAUCUUCGGACCUCACGCUAUCAGAUGAGCCUAGGUCGGACUAGCUAGUUGGUGGGGUAAAGGCCUACCAAGGCGGCGAUCCGUAACUGGUCUGAGAGGAUGAUCAGUCACACUGGAACUGAGACACGGUCCAGACUCCUACGGGAGGGAGCAGUGGGGAAUAUUGGACAAUGGGCGGAAGCCUGAUCCAGCCAUGCCGCGUGUGUGAAGAAGGUCUUCGGAUUGUAAAGCACUUUAAGUUGGGAGGAAGGGCAGUAAGUUAAUACCUUGCUGUUUUGACGUUACCAACAGAAUAAGCACCGGCUAACUUCGUG